rnacentral:rRNA from 1 species
ACGGAAGGCAGCAGCUAAGAAUAUUCCGCAAUGCACGAAAGUGUGACGGAGCGACGCCGCGUGGAUGAUGAAGGCCGGAAGGUUGUAAAAUCCUUUUGAAACCGAGGAAUAAGUACUGCAGGGAAUGGCAGUAUGGUGACUGUAAGUUUUGAAUAAGCACCGGCUAAUUACGUGCCAGCAGCCGCGGUAACACGUAAGUUGCGAGCGUUGUUCGGAAUUAUUGGGCGUAAAGGGCAUGUAGGCGGUUUUGCAAGCUUGGUGUGAAAUCCCGGAGCUCAACUCCGGAAUUGCGUUGAGAACUGCAUAACUAGAGUCACUGAGGGGCAAUCAGAAUUCCAGGUGUAGGGGUGAAAUCUGUAGAUAUCUGGAAGAAUACCAAUGGCGAAGGCAGGUUACCAGCAGAUGACUGACGCUGAGGUGCGAAGGUGCGGGGAGCAAACAGGAUUAGAUACCCUGGUA